CCCAUCCAGAGCAUCUCCCACCUGGGAAGUUGCGGCAGCCUCCAGCAGAGCAGCCCCUCACCCAGCGGCCCUCGUUCACGGACACUGUCCAAGUCUGAAGCUUGUCGGACUCCAGGGCAUCAGCUGUGAGGUUGCAGAUCUCCAGCUUUGUGAAAUGGUAGAUGAAAUCGUCAUAGGACAUCCUGAGAGGUUGGAAGAAGAGAGAGACCCAUAUGGGAGGCUGGGAAAGGGCACAACUCGCCCAACUGUGCACAAGGGGUCUGACAAGGUUCCUGUCUCUGAUGUGACCCAGUGAAGGCCAGACAUCCCAGGGGAAGCAAAACCUUGGAACUGACCAUGAAAAACAAGAAAGACAAGAGCCCAUGAUAUCAACUUCAUAAAACCAAAGUGCUUUCUAUUUGUUCUUUGGAAAUGUUGGGGCAAUUGCUAUCUUUAGCACUAAAAACAAACAUAAACUGAGCACCGUCUUGUGGCAAGAUCCACCUACCAGUCCCAGUGGCCUCCUCCAACCCCAGGCGCUCGGCCUGAGUGCCUGAUUGGAGGCAAAUUCUACAGAUGUGAAGGGACACAGAAAGCCAAGUCCUGACUUUGGGAGGUUCACCCAAGUAGCCCCUCAAGUCCCGUCCCGCCGAGCCCCGCCAGGCUCACCUCCUCCAGCCCAGUGACUGAGUAGGCGUGGCCUUUGACCAGCCCGCAGGCCAUUCUUGUCUCGUACUGAACUGGAACAAUUGUCUGUGGAGUGAAAACCAGACAACCUGUCAGGGGUUGCUGCCUGAGACAAAGUUCACACUGGUUCACGUCCUGGGUUCUGCAAGGACGAGGACUCCUCCACGCCCUGGAAGUGUGCCUCCCAGCCGUGAGAAGGCCCUCACUAGCCCUUUCAGACAGCCAAGAAGAUGCAGCCCAGACAAGUGGUUUCCCCAGACCGUCGGAGAGCAACAUGGAGCUGGGGCAUGAGAACAUGCUCAAGAAAUCAAAAGUGCCCAGGGAGAGAAUUCUGAGGAGGCCAGAGGAGAGUCCUGCUGAGACGUGACCGUGCCUCAGGGAGCAGCAGUAGCUCUUCCAUUUGAGAUUUGCAGCCACAGGAGAUCCUCGGCAGAGGGGUAGGAUCACCAAAGCCCAGUGAGCCCUAGACGGAUCUCUGUGGCUUCACUUUGCCUGAUAGCGUAACAGCUUUAAGAGGAGCAGCCUGGAGGCCUUUUCAAGAGAAACUGCCUGGACCAUGGAGUUUGAAGGACCUCCCACAGAGAUUCCCUCCAAAAGCUGCCUCCCGCACCUUCCUCAGGAGCCUCGGAGAGGGCAAGUUAUUCCAACCUAGACCCUUGGAAGGCCUCAGGAGGAGGCUGUGUGUGAGGUGCUGGCUGCUGAG